rnacentral:rRNA from 1 species
GUGUCAGCAGCCGCGGUAAGACGAACCGUGCGAACGUUGUUCGGAUUCACUGGGCUUAAAGGGCGCGUAGGCGGGUUACCAAGUCAGGGGUGAAAUCUUUCGGCUCAACCGGAAAACGGCCCCUGAUACUGGUAGUCUUGAGGGAGGUAGGGGCAGGUGGAACUUCCGGUGGAGCGGUGAAAUGUGUUGAUAUCGGAAGGAACGCCGGUGGCGAAAGCGACCUGCUGGAUCUCUUCUGACGCUGAGGCGCGAAAGCUAGGGGAGCGAACGGGAUUAGAUACCCUGGUAGUCC